rnacentral:lncRNA from 1 species
CCCAAAAAAAAGAUCGCUAACUUCAAUUUUCAAAAGCAGCUGCCUUGUAGAAAAAAUGAAAGGCACAGAAUUUGAAACUGCUAAACUUAUUUUCCAUUGCAAGGAUAAGUAAUACAACCAUACUGUAUUUGGUUAUCUUUCUCAAAUGCAAUGUGUGUGUGUGUGUGUGUGUGUGUGUUCUAGCACACAAAUCAUUUUGUGAAUUGUGAUGUUAACAUUUAAGUCUUGCAAUUUCAGGCACAUCCAAAUCUCACUUUGUGUGGCUUUUCCUUUGCCAAUUUUGUCACCUGUUCCUUCAGGUCAAGUGCUGAUGCCAUUGUCCUCAGAGACACCCCCAUCCCUGAGGGGGAAAACUUGUGACAAUGUAAUCACCAUCUAAUACAAUUUAUUUGUAUUACUAGGUGCUUUGGCAGAGAGAGGGCGAGGCGAGGCUGCAGCUCUGCAUCUUCCAUAAUAUCGAGUUCCGGCUGAAGUUUCAGUUCAAAAAUGCAGCAAGAUUUCGGGAGGCAGGACAAGCAGUUUGUGCGAACCAAGUCCCUCAGCAGGGCUAGCAAUGGAUGUCUUGAAUGCCUGCAGAAUGAAGUGAAGAAUGGAAGCAGUCACUGGGCGUAUUCUGAAGUUGGAGGGCACAGAACAGCUAAAUCACUAUUCACUAAGCUGUGGCACUACACUGUCAGAUGAUAAUGCCAUUUUGAAGGUAAUCGACUGGGAUCAGAAAUAGGAACAAUGAAAUGGAAUCAGGGACUUUGUGUUUCAUUUCCAUCCCCUUGGUCCUCUCUGGUGUUAGGUUUAACCAAGACCCCAUAGCUGAGAAAACCGCAUUCUUUUGGCAUGGUGAUUAAUGCUUCACUUGACAGGAAUUCUUGCUGGCUGAAACUCAACUAUGCACUCAGGUUUCUAUUUGGCUGUUUUCAGCAUGGAAACGUCCUACCAAGACCGAUUCCAAACUUCGCACAAUAACAACAUGGCUGGCAAUUAAAAAUGUACAUGCUAAUUGCUGGACAUAAAAUGCCUCAUUUACUUAUUUGCACACGAAGCAGGGGCAGAAGUAGGGGAGGAAUCCAGAUUCUUGAAAUGUAGAGAGAUGUCAGAACUUGGUCCAAAACAUCCAAAAUUCUGUAGCCACAGAUGGUACGCUCAUUCUUUGUUUAUGCAAAUCCGCAUAAACUAACGGCAUCGUUCAUUGACUUGCAACACCUGGACUGUGGCAGAAUCUGUAAAUUUCUGGGAAGAAAAUAGUAUGGAAGAAUGUGCAGGACAAACUGGCAUAGCAAUCACACCCAACUCCCCUGGCAGGCUGGAGGUUGGGUUUCCCUUGGUGGUUCCUUGGCUGCUGCCUCCCACCUCUUCGUCCUGCCAGUCCCUGACCCCCCGCCCCCAUCCCUGAAGUUGCGUGCUCUCUUCCUUGGCUUAUGGGUGCUCAUGCUGUGUUGUGUACACACACACACAACAUGCACACAAUGACAUGCAGCCCUUUUAAAAACAACAACAACAAAGUUUUUUGGGUUUUUUCACAUUUUAACUUAACCAUUUCAAACAUUAAAAUACAAGGUUCUUUUGAACCUUCGGACCUCCCUCCCUCCUUCCAUGGGUUCUAUGUUUAAGAUUAAAUUUGCUGGAUCUUUUACCAUUAUCCAUCUGUUAAAUAUCCAUAAUUAUCAUAAAUAAUUCCACAUUACAAGUGUCAAUGCCA